rnacentral:rRNA from 1 species
GACGAACGCUGGCGGCGUGCUUAACACAUGCAAGUCGAACGAAGUGGCGAACGGGUGAGUAACGCGUAAUCAACCUGCCCUUCAGAGGGGGACAACAGUUGGAAACGACUGCUAAUACCGCAUACUGAAGGAGGGGAUUGCGUCUGUUUAGCUAGUUGGAGGGGUAACGGCCUACCAAGGCGAUGAUCAGUAGCCGGUCUGGGAGGAUGAACGGCCAAAUCUGGACUGAGACAAGGCCCAGACUCCUACGGGAGGGAGCCGUGGGGAAUCUUACGCCAUGGACGAAAGUCUGACGGAGCAACGCCGCGUGAGUGAUGACGGCCUUCGGGUUGGAAAGCUCUGUUAAUCGGGACGCGGUACCGGAAUAGAAAGCCACGGCUAACUACGUGCCAGCAGCCGCGGUAAUUC